GGGGGCCGGUCGGAUGUGGGGGAACCUGGGGAACUCAGGCUAAUACCGCAUACGUCCUACGGGAGAAAGCAUUGGGAUCUUCGGACCUUGCGCUAUCGGAUGAGCCCAUGUCGGAUUAGCUUGUUGGUGAGGUAAUGGCUCACCAAGGCGACGAUCCGUAGCUGGUCUGAGAGGAUGAUCAGCCACACUGGGACUGAGACACGGCCCAGACUCCUACGGGAGGCAGCAGUGGGGAAUAUUGGACAAUGGGCGAAAGCCUGAUCCAGCCAUGCCGCGUGUGUGAAGAAGGCCUUCGGGUUGUAAAGCACUUUCAGCGAGGAAGAACGCCUUGGGAUUAAUACUCCCGAGGAAAGACAUCACUCGCAGAAGAAGCACCGGCUAACUCCGUGCCAGCAGCCGCGGUAAUACGGAGGGUGCAAGCGUUAAUCGGAAUUACUGGGCGUAAAGCGCGCGUAGGUGGCUAAGUCAGCCAGGUGUGAAAGCCCCGGGCUCAACCUGGGAACGGCAUCUGGAACUGCUUGGCUAGAGUGCAGGAGAGGAAGGUAGAAUUCCCGGUGUAGCGGUGAAAUGCGUAGAGAUCGGGAGGAAUACCAGUGGCGAAGGCGGCCUUCUGGACUGACACUGACACUGAGGUGCGAAAGCGUGGGUAGCAAACAGGAUUAGAUACCCUGGGUAGUCCACGCCGUAAACGAUGUCAACUAGCCGUUGGGUCCCUUGAGGACUUAGUGGCGCAGCUAACGCAAUAAGUUGACCGCCUGGGGAGUACGGCCGCAAGGUUAAAACUUCAAUGAAUUGACGGGGGCCCGCCACAAGCGGUGAGCAUGUGGUUUUAAUUCGAAGCAACGCGAAGAACCCUUACCAGGCCUUGACAUCCAAUGAACUUUUCUAGAGAAUAGAAUUGUUGCCUUCGGGAACAUUGAGAACAGGUGGCUGCCAUGCUUGUCGUCAGCCCGUGUCCGUGAGAUGGUGGGUUUAGUCCGUAACGGAGCGCAACCCCUGUCCUAAGUACCCAGCGGGUUAGCCGGAACUCUAGGGAUACUUGCCAGUGGACAAACUGGAGAGGCGGGAACAACGUUCAGUUCUAUCAUUGCCAUACGACACAGGUCCACCACUGUGUCU
rnacentral:rRNA from 1 species